GGGAAGAUAUUGCACCCCUAGGAGAGACUGGGGGAUGCCCCAUGAUCUCUAGGUGAUUUUUAGACACACUGAGGUUUUUUUUUGCCACAAGGAGGGAUCAGGUGGCCAGCUGCUGGCUGAUUGCCCCUGACAGGUAGCCGGAGGCAGUUGAAGGAAGCCAGAGACUGCUGAAGGGAGCUGGCCACUGAUGAGUAAUUGCUGGUAUUAGGUUUCUUUCUUUACUGCGGCUGGCCUGACAGGGAGGGAAGGAAGCUGAAGCAGCUGAAAAAAAGCCAAAGGUCAGGUUUCUUUCCUGAUUAAAACCUAGAUGCUUUGGGCAGUUGUUAACCCUUUCCUUGAAACUUCUUGGUCUCAAUAAUAGAAAAUCAGCCUGUUUGUCAAACAGCUUGCUUAAGGUUUUAUGGUCCUUACAAGUACAUGCCAAGAAAUGAGAUCUUAAGAUAAGCUCCUGGGAUCGGGGUAGUUUACGUGUCUGUGUCUCUGUUGUUUGUCUUCUGGCUUUUGCUGUUUGUCUCAUGUGUAUUUCUGUAUUUGGACGCAGCAGCAAGGAAGCUGGCUGAUACCAAAGGAGGAGCCUGCCAGAGGACAAAAGUGUGUGAGAGAGGAGGCUGAAGGCAUCAUCAGGACCCACCAGAUGUGAAAGACUUAAGACUUUGGGAAAUGGGGGUGUUGGAGGCAGCAUCAAUCUGUAUAUUCCAGGUCCACAGCCAGGAUCAAGGCAGAGACCAGAAUCUCCAUCCUAUGUCAUAGGGGGAUUCCUGCUCCAGAGUUGGAGGACAGAGAAGUGGCAGUCAGUGAGCACAGUCUCCAUGAGGAGAAGGAAGGGAAUGACUGGGAAGGAAUUCAAUCCUGAGGACAGAGUGGCGCUUUAAUAGACUCAUUGACUGAUUGAUGGAGAGUCCUUGUAGAGGCCAGAGG
rnacentral:lncRNA from 1 species